GCCCCGAUAGCUCAGCGGAUAGAGCGUCUGCCUCCGGAGCAGAAGGUCGCAGGUUCGAUUCCUGUUCGGGGUGCCA
rnacentral:tRNA from 1 species